rnacentral:rRNA from 1 species
UGGGGAAUAUUGCACAAUGGGCGCAAGCCUGAUGCAGCCAUGCCGCGUGUGUGAAGAAGGCCUUCGGGUUGUAAAGCACUUUCAGCGAGGAGGAAGGUGGUGAACUUAAUACGUUCAUCAAUUGACGUUACUCGCAGAAGAAGCACCGGCUAACUCCGUGCCAGCAGCCGCGGUAAUACGGAGGGUGCAAGCGUUAAUCGGAAUUACUGGGCGUAAAGCGCACGCAGGCGGUUUGUUAAGUCAGAUGUGAAAUCCCCGGGCUCAACCUGGGAACUGCAUUUGAAACUGGCAAGCUAGAGUCUCGUAGAGGGGGGUAGAAUUCCAGGUGUAGCGGUGAAAUGCGUAGAGAUCUGGAGGAAUACCGGUGGCGAAGGCGGCCCCCUGGACGAAGACUGACGCUCAGGUGCGAAAGCGUGGGGAGCAAACAGGAUUAGAUACCCCUGGUAGUCCACGCUGUAAAACGAUGUCGAUUUUGGAGGUUGUGCCCUUGAGGCGUGGCUUCCGGAGCUAACGCGUUAAAUCGACCGCCUGGGGAGUACGGCCGCAAGGUUAAAACUCAAAUGAAUUGACG